rnacentral:rRNA from 1 species
AUUGAACGCUGGCGGCAGGCCUAACACAUGCAAGUCGAACGCGUGGCGGACGGGUGAGUAAUGUCUGUGAAACUGCCCGAUGGAGGGGGAUAACUCCUGGAAACGGUAGCUAAUACCGCAUACCCUCGGAUGUGCCCAGAUGGGAGUAGCGAGUAGGUGGGGUAACGGCUCACCAAGGCGACGAUCCCUAGCUGGUCUGAGAGGAUGACCAGCCAAACUGGAACGGAGACACGGUCCAGACUCCUACGGGAGGCAGCAGUGGGGAAUAUUGCACAAUGGGCGCAAGCCUGAUGCAGCCAUGCCGCGUGUAUGAAGAAGGCCUUCGGGUUGUAAAGUACUUUCAGCGAGGAGGCGUUACUCGCAGAAGAAGCACCGGCUAACUCCGUGCCAGCAGCCGCGGUAAUUC